rnacentral:rRNA from 1 species
AAGCGGUGGAUGAUGUGGUUAAUUCGAUGCAACGCGAAAACCUUACCCACCUUUGACAUGUACGGAACCCUUUAGAGAUAGAGGGGUGCUCGAAAGAGAGCCGUAACACAGGUGCUGCAUGGCUGUCGUCAGCUCGUGUCGUGAGAUGUUGGGUUAAGUCCCGCAACGAGCGCAACCCUUGUCAUUAGUUGCUACAUUCAGUUGGGCACUCUAAUGAGACUGCCGGUGACAAGCCGGAGGAAGUGGGGAUGACGUCAAGUCCUCAUGGCCCUUAUAGGUGGGGCUACACACGUCAUACAAUGGCUGGUACAAAGGGUUGCCAACCCGCGAGGGGGAGCCAAUCCCAUAAAGCCAGUCGUAGUCCGGAUCGUAGUCUGCAACUCGACUACGUGAAGUCGGAAUCGCUAGUAAUCGUGGAUCAGAAUGUCACGGUGAAUACGUUCCCGGGUCUU